rnacentral:rRNA from 1 species
UACGUAGGGUGCGAGCGUUGUCCGGAAUUAUUGGGCGUAAAGGGCUCGUAGGCGGUCCAUCGCGUCGGGAGUGAAAGCUGGGCUUAACCCCAGUCCUGCUUCCGAUACGGGUGGACUAGAGGUAGGCAGGGAGAACGGAAUUCCUGGUGUAGCGGUGAAAUGCGCAGAUAUCAGGAAGAACACCCGUGGCGAGGGCGGCUCUCUGGGACGGUACUGACGCUGAGACGCGAAAGCGUGGGGAGCGAACAGG